AUAAUAAUUAUUUAUUAAUUUUAUUUUAUUUAAAUUUAUUUUAUUAAAAAUAAUUAUAAAAAUUUAAGUUUUAGUAUAAUAUAUAGGAAAAAUAAUAUUAAUUAUAGUUUAUUAGUAUUGUAAAAGAAAAUUGAAAUAAUAUGAAAAAUUUUUAUUUAAAAAGUAAAUUUAAUUUAUUGUACCUUGUGUAUCAGGGUUUAUUAAUUAAAAAAUAAAAUUUUAUUAUUCUCGAAUUUAAAAGAGUUAAUAAAUUAUAAAAGUUAUUGUAAUAAAAUUAUUUUUAAUAAUUUAUUUGAAAUGAAAAGUUAUUCGUUUUUAAAUAUAUCUAGUUUUUUAAGAAAUAAAUUUAAUUUAUAAUUUAUAAAUAUAUUAUUUUAAUUUAUUAAUAUAAUAUUUUAUAAAUUAAAUAUUUUAAGGGAUAAGCUUUAAAAUAAAUUUUUAAAAAUUAUUAAAUAAUUUUAUAAAUAUAUGUUUAGAAUUAGCAAUUAUUUAUAAUUUUGUUAUAAAUUAUUUAUUAAAUUAUAUUAUUUAAUUUAAUUUUAAAUUUUUAUUAAAAUUUUUAUUUAAAUUUUAUAAAUAAAUUAAUAAUGAUAAAAUUAGUAUAUUUAUUUUAAAUAUAAUUAUUUAUGUAAAGUUUAUAUAAAGAAUUCGGCAAAAUUAAUGUUCGCCUGUUUAACAAAAACAUGUCUUUUUGUAAUAAUUAAAAAGUCUGACCUGCCCAUUGAUAAUUAUUUAACGGCCGCAGUAUAUUAACUGUGCAAAGGUAGCAUAAUCAUUAGUUUUUUAAUUGAAAGCUGGAAUGAAUGGUUGGACGAAAUAUUAACUGUUUCAUAUAAAUUUAUAAUAGAAUUUAAUUUUUUAAUUAAAAAGUUAAAAUGUAUUUAAAAGACGAGAAGACCCUAUGAAUCUUUAUAUUUUAUUAAUAAUAUAUUUUUUAGAUUUACUUUAUCUAUUUUUAAUAAAAUAUUUUAUUGGGGUGAUAAUAAAAUUUAUUAAACUUUUAUUAAUAUUUCACAUUAAUUUAUGAACUAUUGAUCCAUUAUUAAUGAUUAAAAAUUUAAGUUACUCUAGGGAUAACAGCGUAAUAUUUUUGGAGAGUUCUUAUUGAUAAAAAUGAUUGCGACCUCGAUGUUGGAUUAAGAUAUAAUUUUAGGUGUAGAAGCUUAAAUUUUGAGUCUGUUCGACUUUUAAAUUCUUACAUGAUCUGAGUUCAAACCGGUGUGAGCCAGGUUGGUUUCUAUCUUUAAUAAAUUAAAAUAUUUUAGUACGAAAGGAGUAAAUAUUUAAAUUAUAAAAUUUUAGUAAUUGAAUUAAAUUAAU
rnacentral:rRNA from 1 species